rnacentral:rRNA from 1 species
UACAGAGGUCUCAAGCGUUGUUCGGAUUCAUUGGGCGUAAAGGGUGCGUAGGCGGCGCGGUAAGUCGGGUGUGAAAUCUUGGAGCUUAACUCCGAAACUGCAUUCGAUACUGCCGUGCUUGAGGACUGGAGAGGAGACUGGAAUUCCUGGUGUAGCGGUGAAAUGCGCAGAUAUCGGGAGGAACACCCGUAGCGAAGGCGGCACUCUGGGCCGGUACUGACGCUGAGGAGCGAAAGCGUGGGGAGCAAACAGG